AGUGAACGCUGGCGGUAGGCCUAACACAUGCAAGUCGAACGGCAGCACAGUAAGAGCUUGCUCUUACGGGUGGCGAGUGGCGGACGGGUGAGGAAUACAUCGGAAUCUACUUUUUCGUGGGGGAUAACGUAGGGAAACUUACGCUCAUACCGCAUACGACCUACGGGUGAAAGCAGGGGAUCUUCGGACCUUGCGCGAUUGAAUGAGCCGAUGUCGGAUUAGCUAGUUGGCGGGGUAAAGGCCCACCAAGGCGACGAUCCGUAGCUGGACUGAGAGGAUGAUCAGCCACACUGGAACUGAGACACGGUCAAGACUCCUACGGGAGGCAGCAGUGGGGAAUAUUGGACAAUGGGCGGAAGCCUGAUCCAGCCAUACCGCGUGGGUGAAGAAGGCCUUCGGGUUGUAAAGCCCUUCUGUUGGGAAUGAAAAGCAGCAGGUUAAUACCCAGCUGUUCUGACGGUACCCAAAGAAGAAGCACCGGCUAACUUCGUG
rnacentral:rRNA from 1 species